UUGGAGGGCAAGUCUGGUGCCAGCAGCCGCGGUAAUUCCAGCUCCAAUAGCGUAUAUUAAAGUCGUUGCAGUUAAAAAGCUCGUAGUUGAAUUUCGGGAUUGACGUGAUGGUCAUGCCUUAAGGGGUAUGAACUGUUACUGUUGAUUUCUCACCUUCUGGAGAAACUUGAUGUCCUUUAUUGGGUGUCUUGCGGAUCCAGGACCUUUACCUUGAAAAAAUUAGAGUGUUUAAAGCAGGCAUUUUUGCUCGAAUACAUUGGCAUGGAAUAAUAGAAUAGGACGGCAUGGUUCUAUUUUGUUGGUUUCUAGGAUCACCGUAAUGAUUAAUAGGGAUAGUUGGGGGCAUUAGUAUUCAAUUGUCAGAGGUGAAAUUCUUGGAUUUAUUGAGGACUAACUACUGCGGAAGCAUUUGCCAAGGAUGUUUUCAUUAAUCAAGAACGAAAGUUAGGGGAUCGAAGACGAUCAGAUACCGUCGUAGUCUUAACCAUAAACUAUGCCGACUAGGAAUCAGACGAUGUUAAUUUUUUAAUGACUCGUUUGGCACCUUACGGGAAACCAAAGUGUUUGGGUUC
rnacentral:rRNA from 1 species